GAUGAACGCUGGCGGCGUGCUUAACACAUGCAAGUCGAACGAAGCACUUUAUUUGAUUUCCUUCGGGACUGAUCAUUUUGUGACUGAGUGGCGGACGGGUGAGUAACGCGUGGGUAACCUGCCUUGUACAGGGGGAUAACAGUUGGAAACGGCUGCUAAUACCGCAUAAGCGCACAGCAUCGCAUGAUGCAGUGUGAAAAACUCCGGUGGUAUAAGAUGGACCCGCGUUGGAUUAGCUAGUUGGUGAGGUAACGGCCCACCAAGGCGACGAGCCAUAGCCGGCAUGUGAGGGUGACCGGCCACAUUGGCACUGGGACACGGCCCAAACUCCUACGGGAGGCAGCAGUGGGGAAUAUUGCACAAUGGGCGAAAGCAUGAUGCAGCGCCGCCGCGUGAGCGAAGAAGUAUUUCGGUAUGUAAAGCUCUAUCAGCAGGGAAGAUAAUGACGGUACCUGACUAAGAAGCGCCGGCUAAAUACGUG
rnacentral:rRNA from 1 species